rnacentral:lncRNA from 1 species
UGAGGUUGAGGUAAACUUAGAGUAGUAAGGGACAAGAUAGCGGGGUGUGGGGUUGAUGAGUUUUUUUUUUUUUUUUUUUUUUUUCUUCAGCUGUAUGUGUAUUUAGGAGUAGUUUGGAAAGAUAUAGGGUGUUCUUAGAAAUUGAGAAAAUUUGAAUUAGAAGUUGGGGUGAACAAAGAGAAGUGUGAGGUUUAAAUAGAAAAACUCUUUUAAUAAUCCGUGGACCAAAUUGUCUCUCCACAAGUAACGGAACUUAAAUUUUUUUGACAGAAAUUGGAGAUUGUCCUUAAAUGACUUCAAAUAAAAACCAUAGGGACAAAAUUGAUCAAAUUGAAACCAUAAGGAACUUAAACCACAGUAAUAAUUUUGAUGACGUUAAGUAUGGUUUAGGGACUUCGGGUAUGCUACUUGGGGGGGACCUUAUUUCUUC